rnacentral:ncRNA from 1 species
GCAGAGAUAAAAACGCAACGUACACCGCAAGGUGUGCCAGAGCCGGUAGGUAGCCCGGCCGUCCUGAAUGCUUCAGGGUAAGUAACCUUCCCUCCUGGGUCGUCCCUUCUCUGCUCAUA